UACGUAGGGUGCGAGCGUUAAUCGGAAUUACUGGGCGUAAAGCGUGCGCAGGCGGCUUUGUAAGUUAGAGGUGAAAGCCCGGAGCUCAACUCCGGAACUGCCUUUAAGACUGCAUCGCUAGAACGAUGGAGAGGUGAGUGGAAUUCCGAGUGUAGAGGUGAAAUUCGUAGAUAUUCGGAAGAACACCAGUGGCGAAGGCGACUCACUGGACAUCUGUUGACGCUGAGGUGCGAAAACAUGAAAAACAAACAGG
rnacentral:rRNA from 1 species